GAUGAACGCUAGCGACAGGCUUAACACAUGCAAGUCGAGGGGCAGCGGGGGUAGCAAUACCCGCCGGCGACCGGCGCACGGGUGAGUAACGCGUAUGCAACUUGCCUAUCAGAGGGGGAUAACCCGGCGAAAGUCGGACUAAUACCGCAUGAAGCAGGGGUCCCGCAUGGGGAUAUUUGCUAAAGAUUCAUCGCUGAUAGAUAGGCAUGCGUUCCAUUAGGCAGUUGGUGGGGUAACGGCCCACCAAACCGACGAUGGAUAGGGGUUCUGGGGGGAAGGUCCCCCACAUUGGUACUGAGACACGGACCAA
rnacentral:rRNA from 1 species